AUGUACAAGUUGUACAAGAGCGAGCUGGACGCGAUCACGCCUAAGCAGGUGGAAUGGGAGCCGUAUGGAAAAGGAGAGAGUUUUGGCAACCCUAUAGAGUUUAGGCUGAAUCCGAUGUGCACUAGGGAUAGGGAUCUCUGGCAUAUGCGGUGCCCACUCAUAUGCAACUGGGCGGUUGAGCUUCACCUGCCACAUCAGGUGUUCCGCCAGUUUGGUUUGUUCCAGCCACACCCGCCGGAGUGGGGGGACAUGGACAAGUUGUACACGCGAAAAAGCAGCGGAAGAUCAAGGAUUGGGCCAAGCAUCACAGGAAGUAUGCCGUACAGUUCACGCUUAGUGUGGAGCAAGCUAGGGCUGGAAAACGAGCCCAGCUUCGUGAGCACUGCCCGAUCGCGUUCAACAACUACCUCACAUGGUUUCUUGCAAGUACCCGUGUGGAGGUAUGCAAGCCGGCAUAUGCUGAGGAGAUUUUGGAAGAUCCCACCAUUUUUGAUGAGCUAG
rnacentral:rRNA from 1 species